rnacentral:rRNA from 1 species
GUAUGGUGCAAGCGUUAUCCGGAUUUACUGGGUGUAAAGGGAGCGUAGGUGGCAAGGCAAGCCAGAAGUGAAAACCCGGGGCUCAACCGCGGGAUUGCUUUUGGAACUGUCAUGCUAGAGUGCAGGAGGGGUGAGCGGAAUUCCUAGUGUAGCGGUGAAAUGCGUAGAUAUUAGGAGGAAUACCAGAGGCGAAGGCGGCUCACUGGACUGUAACUGACACCGAGGCUCGAAAGCGUGGGGAGCAAACAGGAUUAGAUACCCUGGUAGUCCACACCGUAAACGAUGGAUACUAGGUGUAGGGGACAUUAAGUUUUCUGUGCCGUCGCAAACGCAAUAAGUAUCCCACCUGGGGAGU